AACGAACGCUGGCGGCAGGCCUAACACAUGCAAGUCGAACGCACCGCAAGGUGAGUGGCGCACGGGUGAGUAACACGUGGGAAUGUACCCUUUGGUUCGGAAUAACGUUUGGAAACGAACGCUAAUACCGGAUGAGCCCUGUGGGGGAAAGAUUUAUCGCCAAAGGAGCAGCCCGCGUCUGAUUAGCUAGUUGGUGGGGUAAAGGCCUACCAAGGCGACGAUCAGUAGCUGGUCUGAGAGGAUGAUCAGCCACACUGGGACUGAGACACGGCCCAGACUCCUACGGGAGGCAGCAGUGGGGAAUAUUGGACAAUGGGCGGAAGCCUGAUCCAGCCAUGCCGCGUGAGUGAUGAAGGCCUUCGGGUUGUAAAGCUCUUUCGUCACGCGACGAUGAUGACGGUAGCGUGAGAAGAAGCCCCGGCUAACUUCGUGCCAGCAGCCGC
rnacentral:rRNA from 1 species